rnacentral:rRNA from 1 species
GAUGAACGCUGGCGGCGUGCCUAAUACAUGCAAGUCGAGCGAACAGACGAGGAGCUUGCUCCUCUGACGUUGGCGGCGGACGGGUGAGUAACACGUGGAUAACCUACCUAUAAGACUGGGAUAACUACGGGAAACCGGAGCUAAUACCGGAGAAUAUAUUGAACCGCAGGGUGCAAUAGUUAAAGACGGUUUUGCUGUCAGUUAGAGAUGGAUCCGCGCCGCAUUAGCUAGUUGGUAAGGUAACGGCUUACCAAGGCGACGAUGCGUAGCCGACCUGAGAGGGUGAUCGGCCACACUGGAACUGAGACACGGUCCAGACUCCUACGGGAGGCAGCAGUAGGGAAUCUUCCGCAAUGGGCGAAAGCCUGACGGAGCAACGCCGCGUGAGUGAUGAAGGUCUUCGGAUCGUAAAGCUCUGUUAUUAGGGAAGAACAAAUGUGUAAGUAACUAUGCACGUCUUGACGGUACCUAAUCAGAAAGCCCCGGCUAACUACGUG